rnacentral:lncRNA from 1 species
GGAUGGAGCCGAUACAGGUGCCUCUUGAGGAAGACGGUGAACGGACCCAGAUUUGCCAAAGCAGAGUGUGUGCAGACAGGGUAAAUACUUACGAUUGUGGAGAAAAUGUUUCAAGAUGGCUGUCCAAGUUUUGUGGCCGUCCAUGCCAUUUAAUCAAGCAAAGUCCACACUUCCAGCGAAAUGCAAAGAAGACGCCUAAACAAGGUCAUCCUCCCGGCACUGCUGUUGCCCUGUCCCUGGUGAAUGAGGCUCAGUAUCUGUUGGUGAACACAUCAAGUGUUCUGGAGCUUCAGCAGCAGCUAAACGCCAGGUGAACUUUGGCGUGUACCUGAUGCACUCGUCCUUGGAUUUAUCGUCUCCGUGUUUCCUGUCAGUGGGAUCUGAGGUACUCCCUGUGUUGAAAGACUGUGGAGUGUCUUGAUUCACCCUCUUCCCAGCCAUACCCACGUGCUAUCUCCUGACAUUUCUCCCAAGAGCAUUAAAGUUUUUCUUUAAA